UCUGCCUCCGCUGCCGCCAUGGCACCCGUGAAAAAGCUUGUGACGAAGGGGGGCAAAAAAAAAAAAAAAAAAAAGAAGCACGUUCUGAAGUUCACUCUUGAUUGCAACCACCCUGUAGAAGAUGGAAUCAUGGAUGCAGCCAAUUUUGAGCAGUUUUUGCAAGAGAGGAUCAAAGUGAACGGAAAAGCUGGGAAUCUCGGUGGAGGAGUUGUGACUAUUGAAAGGAGCAAGAACAAGAUCACUGUGACUUCCGAGGUGCCUUUUUCCAAAAGGUAUGUGAAAUAUCUCACCAAAAAAUAUCUGAAGAAGAAUAAUCUACGUGAUUGGUUGCACAUAGUUGCUAACAGCAAAGAGAGUUACGAGUUACGUUACUUCCAAAUUAACCAGGAUGAAGAAGAGGAGGAAGAUGAGGAUUAAAAUUCAUUUAUCUUCAAUAUUUUGUAUGAGUUCUUGAAUAAAACUUGGGAACCAAAAAA